CGAGUUAAAUUUAUAGUUUUUUAUUUUUUAUGGUGAACCUUCUCAAAACGCAUGAUUGCUGUCGCCUUUGUACUGCAGUGGGUUAUUUCUGUUUUAUACYGUUUUUAUUUUUGGACUCUAGUGUGGUUCCAAAUMCAUCCCCAUUAUAUAUGUAUAUUUGUUUUUCUUUGGGUUUUGAAUUGUAUUUUAUUUUGAUGGAGAAGCUUUUAUUUUCUUGUUUCCUGUUUCUGUGUCACAUCCUGUGAGUUCGUGCCGUCUCCUCAGUUCGCGCCGAGCUGCGCUGGGGAGAGGUAAGCGCACACAGUUGUCUUGCAAUUGUGGAUUAAAACAUUCAAAACGUUGUAUAAAGAAAGGGUGUGCGUGGGAAAGCCAGAGCCGGGAGCUGUUGCUGAACAUGGUUUUGUUUUAAACAGGAAUAAAGCAUCRUAAAUCCUG